GCCUAACACAUGCAAGUCGAGCGCGAAAAGUUUUCGGACUUAGUAAAGCGGCGGACGGGUGAGUAACGCGUGGGAAUCUGCCUGGUAGUGGGGGACAACAGUCGGAAACGACUGCUAAUACCGCAUAAGCCUGAGAAGGGAAAGUCGAAAGACGCUGAGAGAGGAGCCCGCGGCCGAUUAGCUAGUUGGUGAGGUAAGAGCCCACCAAGGCAGAGAUCGGUAGCCGGCCUGAGAGGGCACACGGCCACACUGGCACUGAAACACGGGCCAGACUCCUACGGGAGGCAGCAGUGGGGAAUCUUGCACAAUGGGGGCAACCCUGAUGCAGCGACGCCGCGUGAGCGAUGAAGCCCUUCGGGGUGUAAAGCUCUUGCGGCAGGGAAGAUAGUGACGGUACCUGCAGAAGCAGCUGCGGCUAACUACGUGCCAGCAGCCGCGGUAAUACGUAGGCAGCAAGCGUUGUUCGGAGUUACUGGGCGUAAAGGGUGUGUAGGCGGUUCUUUAAGUUUGGUGUGAAAUCUCCCGGCUCAACCGGGAGGGUGCGCCGAAUACUGAGGGACUAGAGUGUGGGAGAGGAAAGUGGAAUUCCUGGUGUAGCGGUGAAAUGCGUAGAUAUCACGAGAACACCGGUGGUGUAGACGCUUUCUGGACCAUAACUGACGCUGAGACACGAAAGCGUGGGUAGCAAACAGGAUUAGAUACCCUGUAGUCCACGCCCUAAACGAUGCAUAUUUGGUGUGGGUCAUUCAGUUGAUCCGUGCCGGAGCUAACGCGUUAAAUAUGCCGCCUGGGGAGUACAGUCGCAAGGCUGAAACUCAAAGGAAUUGACGGGGGCCCGCACAAGCGGUGGAGCAUGUGGUUCAUUUCGACGCAACGCGAAGAACCUUACCUGGGCUCGAACGGCUUCUCAACGCCGGUAGAAAUACCGGUAUCCCGCAAGGGAGUGGAGUCGAGGUGCUGCAUGGCUGUCGUCAGCUCGUGUCGUGAGAUGUUGGGUUAAGUCCCGCAACGAGCGCAACCCUUGUCCUGUGUUGCCAUCAUUCCCGCUGCGCACUCGCAGGAGACCGCCAGCGAUAAGCUGGAGGAAGGUGGGGAUGACGUCAAGUCCUCAUGGCCUUUAUGUCCAGGGCUACACACGUGCUACAAUGGACGGUACAAACCGCAGCAAACCCGCGAGGGGGAGCCAAUCGGAAAAAACCGUUCUCAGUUCGGAUUGCAGGCUGCAACUCGCCUGCAUGAAGCUGGAAUCGCUAGUAAACGCAGAUCAGCUACGCUGCGUUGAAUACGUUCCCGGGCCUUGUACACACCGCCCGUCACGUCACCUGAGUUUAGUGUACCCGAAGUCGCCCGUGCAACCGCAAGGAGCAAGGCGCCUAAGGUGUGCUAGGUAAGGGGGACGAAGUCGUAACAAGGUAGCCGUAUCGGAAGGUGCGGCUGGAUCACCUCCU
rnacentral:rRNA from 1 species